CAUUACUGGCCCCUCGCAUCGAAGGUGUGGACCGUCUGUCGUGCGUGGAAACUCUUUAAAACAAGAUUUGCUCCUGAAAAGGUCACAAUUGUCUUCCAAUGAAUGUUGAGAUGCAAAGACUGUGGUGCCUCUGUGUCACGAAGAUCUGAGCUUCUUAAACAUUAUAAGCUUGAACACAGACAUUAUGGACGCCGCCAUUCCUACCCAUGCAUCCAUUUAAACUGUCCGUGUACCUGCAAAACUUGGAAGGCACUUUUGACCCACUUGUCAAGAUCUCAUCAACCAUCCUCACAAACUGAUGAUUGUGCUACAAGAGACACUAUUUUUUAUUGUCAAAAAACUGAAUGCCUGGUACCUGGAGCAUUAUCGAGCCUAUGACUUAGUCGUAUCUGCUACUAAAGAACUACGGCUUGUUGGGGUGCAAGAACUGACAGAUCCCUACCCUCUGCCUCACUACAUGGUUUGCGGACGGCGCAUCAUCUCUCUGAAGAGAUACAUGUAUAAGGUUGUAUAUGAAUGGGUGUAGGUUUUCUCAAUUAAUUUUCUCAUUUUUUCACUUGCUUUUGUUUUAUUAGUCUAUUUAAUUGUCAGAAAAAAAUGCACCCAGUUUGCCAAGAAUGUCCCCUUUUCCUCUAAUAGCUCCUGACCUAAUUCUAAUGAAAUAGGCAUAUUUUUUUUGAAGGUAACAUUAGGCCUUAGCAGUUUCAUUCA